CCAUGGACCACAACACACAGAUGGAUUUCAGCAGUUGUGGGGUUCUAAUGUUAAAGUACGCCGGAAAUUUCCUUCUAAGUGGAAACAUAUCUGAUGUGCAGACAACACCAGAAGCUGUCAGUGAACAAAGGAUGGACAUAGCCUGUAUAUUAUUGGAAAAUAGCUA